CCGGAUUUAUUGGGUUUAAAGGGUGCGUAGGCGGUUUGAUAAGUUAGAGGUGAAAUUUCGGGGCUCAACCCUGAACUGCCUCUAAUACUGUUGAGCUAGAGAGUAGUUGCGGUAGGCGGAAUGCAUGGUGUAGCGGUGAAAUGCUUAGAGAUCAUACAGAACACCGAUUGCGAAGGCAGCUUACCAAACUAUAUCUGACGUUGAGGCACGAAAGCGUGGGGAGCAAACAGGAUUAGAUACCCUGGUAGUCCACGCAGUAAACGAUGAUAACUCGUUGUCGGCGAUACACAGUCGGUGACUAAGCGAAAGCGAUAAGUUAUCCACCUGGGGAGUACGUUCGCAAGAAUGAAACUCAAAGGAAUUGACGGGGGCCCGCACAAGCGGAGGAACAUGUGGUUUAAUUCGAUGAUACGCGAGGAACCUUACCCGGGCUUGAAAGUUACUGACGAUUCUGGAAACAGGAUUUCCCUUCGGGGCAGGAAACUAGGUGCUGCAUGGUUGUCGUCAGCUCGUGCCGUGAGGUGUCGGGUUAAGUCCCAUAACGAGCGCAACCCUUACCGUUAGUUGCUAGCAUGUAAUGAUGAGCACUCUAACGAGACUGCCACCGUAAGGUGAGAGGAAGGCGGGGAUGACGUCAAAUCAGCACGG
rnacentral:rRNA from 1 species